UACGUAGGUGGCAAGCGUUGUCCGGAUUUACUGGGCGUAAAGAGCGCGCAGGCGGUCGUUCAAGUCGCGUGUGAAAGCCCCCCGGCUCAACUGGGGAGGGUCACGCGAUACUGAUCGACUCGAAGGCAGGAGAGGGAAGUGGAAUUCCCGGUGUAGUGGUGAAAUGCGUAGAUAUCGGGAGGAACACCAGUGGCGAAGGCGACUCCUGGCCUGUUCUUGACGCUGAGGCGCGAAAGCUAGGGGAGCAAACGGG
rnacentral:rRNA from 1 species